rnacentral:lncRNA from 1 species
GAGCCGACUCCGUGGGUUGAGAGAGCAUUGGUGGCGGCGGCCGAGUCAGGUAGGGGGGUCCGGGUGAACAGCGGGGUGGCGAGACCUGAGCACAGACACCGCCCAGGGCUCUGCAUAGUUCGAGCCCCAAGCUCCGCCCAGCCGGUCUCUUGGGGCCGGGAUUGCCAUUAACUGCCCCGGGAGUAGUUGACGGUGGGGGUCGGAGGAUGGAAGGUGGGGUGUGCCUUUCCACAUCCUCCGUGAUUAACCAGUCAGCUGGGUCCGCAGUUGUGGUUGCCUUCUCCCAAAGUAGAGGGGUGGUAGAGAACAGGCGGACUCUUUCUGGAAGAAUUGCUGUUGCUGCCCCAGUACUGAGAGAUUUAAUAUUUAAGGUGCCAUUUUUCUCGUAUUUAAUGGGCCCAAAGAGUUAACAUGAAUUCAUAGAAGCAAAGCUCUGUAAUUCCCCGCCCCUGGCUGUUCAGUAUGGUUCUUUUAGCUUUUGAAGCUUCCCCCUAGAUGGGACAGAAAUAGUUUCUGAGUCCAAAGCUGAUGCAAAUGUUAAAGUGUGGCUUUGACUCUAGUGAGCCAUUCCCUAGAGGGAGGACAUGGAAGAGAACUAACUGGUUUGGAGGAAUUUGGGUGAAUUCAGCGAAGGAUAGAGUAAUUCCAAACAUUUAUGGAAUCUCCCUUAGCUCUACUGCUUUUGAGCCAUGGGAUAUUGGACAACUUCUUUAUUCUCUUUGUGUAUUAGUAAGUGUCCAAUAACUAGCAUUGUUAUUAUAGUUAUUUCUGUAUUAGACUUUAUUUCUUCAGGUAUUUGUUGAAUACCUACUUGAUUCCAAAUUUCUGCUAGACACGGGUACACAGUAGUAAAGACAAACUUUCAGAGACCUUGUGAUCUAAUAGGGAAUGCAGAUAUUAAAUGAUGAUCAGUAUUCUGCUAUUAUAGAGGAAGUGCAGGGAUCAUAUGAAUGGGUCAGGGGUGAUCUCAGUAAGAAAAUGAUUUAAGUGACACCUGAACAGUAGGAGUGAGCCAGGUGUGAGGACUGGGUUGGGGAUAGGAGGAGGGAAAGGAGUAUACUUGAAGAGGGAAUAGCAGUGGUGUAGUACAGAACUGAAAGGUCAGUGUGGCUGGAAUACACAGUUCAAGAGGAAGAGUGGUAAGAGAUGAGGCAGGAAAGUUAUUCACAUCCAAUAUGGCGAGUAUUAUAAGGCAUUUUAAGGAAUGUAGACUUUAUUGGUUAAGAUGAUGGGAAGCCAUUGGCAGGUUUUACAUAACAGAGUGACCUAACAAAUUUUUGGUUUUAAAAGGGAUGCUUCUUGGAGCAGGCAAGAGUAGAUACAGGGAGAUAUUUAAGCAUGAGACAAUGGUGGCCAAAAUUGGGAUUUUGACUUUGGGGAUGGAAAGAAGUAGAAACAUUUAAGAUGUGUAUAGGAAGAAGGAUAAGACUUGGUGAGGAUUAAAUAUCGGCGGUGAAGGAGAGGAGGGUUAGAGUAGUAUGUGGGUUUUAUAAAAUAGACUCUGGGAGUUAUUAGUGAACUUCCUCUAUGCAAAUUGACUCUUCUCUGCUCCAUUUUUAUCUGUCUGUCAAGUAAUUUCUCAUUGAAUCGACUAAUGGCAGACAAGUUGAAAAGAUUGUGAUGCUUUGUUGCUUUACUCUCUGAUUCAGCCAGCUUGUCUUUUGAAGAAGGUCAGAAUGUGGAAAGACUUUGUAAACUAGCCAUUUAAAAAUAUGCUGCCAUGGUGAUUUUGGCAGUGUGGUUGCGUAUAUUCUACGAUAUGGAUUUAUGGGUACAAUUUACGUUUACCUUUUUUUCUAGGUUUUACUCUAAGAGCAAACAGAGUUGGUGCUUUUAUUUCUAUCACAUAGAUUAAUACAUGUGUGUAAUUAGGGAGAGAGAAUAAUUGAAACAUAGAAAUAGAGGAGAUUGCUCAUAGAAAGUAUAUAGUGAGAGAAAAGCCUAAACUUGGGAUUGAAUAGCCAAAGGAUGGAUUGAGAAUGAAGAGUCUGCAAGAAGACCUAGAAGGAAAGAUCAAUGGGUUAGGAAGAAAAUCUGGAGUUUAGUCUUUGAAAGCUAAAGGGCAGACAGGUUUCAGAAAUUGAGAGGAGUCAGCAAUGUCAAACGUUGUUUGAAAAAAGUGCAGGGUAAUAAGUGAAAAGUACGCACUGAUUUUAGGAACUUACCGCUCAUUUUAGAAUUUGGCAGAGCAAUUUGUUGUAUAGUGGGAACCAUUGUUUAGUGGUAGGAGAAGUGCAGCAAUCAAAUAACAUCUGUCAAGAGGACAGAAGAUUGAACUUGGAAGAGAAGAUGGGGAUGAGUGAGGAUUGUUUCUAUUGUUUCUGGUUUUUGGUAUUUUUUUUUUUAAGUAGUUUAUUUUUGGGAGAGGGGGAGGGGCAGCGACAGAGGGAGAGAGAAUCCCAAGCAGGCUCUGCACUGUCAGCAUGGAGUCCCACGAGGUGCUCUAUCCCAUGAACCUGAGAUCAUGACCUGAGCUGAACUCAAGAGUCGGGCACUUAACUGGCUAAGCCACCCAGGCGCCCUGGUAUUAUUAUUAUUAUUAUUAUUAUUAUUAUUAUUACUUUUUAAUGUUCUAUUUAUUUUUGAGAGAGAGAGAGAGAGACAGAGUACAGGCGAGGGAGGGGCACAGAGAGAAGGAGACACAGAAUCCGAAGCAGGCUCCAGGCUCUGAGCUGUCAGCACAUAGCCGCCGAGGGGCUCGAACCAACAAACCAUGAGAUCACGACCGAGCUGAAAUCAAGAGUCAGACGCUGGACUAACUGAGCCAACCAGGCCCCCCACCCCAGUGUUAUUUUUAAAAAGAGCUUUGUAGAGCCCCUGGGUAGCUCAGUGGGUUAAGCAUCCGACUCUUGAUUUCUGCUCAGGUCAUGAUCUCACAAUUCAUGGGUUCGACCCCUUCAUCCGGCUCAGCGCUGACAGGGCUGAGUCUGCCUGGAAUUCUCUCUCUGCCCCUCCCCUGUGCACAUAUACUCUCGCUGUCUCUCAAAUAAACUCAGAUAUUUGCAAAGCUCUUUUAAGUGCUAAUGGAUAAGAGUGGGAGUUUGGAGAGAGAGGAGACAAGUUCUGGAAGAGGUAGAGGGAAAAACAUAAUCUAAUAUGGCUGAAAGAUUUACCCUUAUAUAGGGAAGGGACAUCCUUCUUUUCUUGUAUCAGGAGAUGUAGGUUAGACAUGGGUUUGUAGGGUUGGAAACCCAAGUAAGCUCUCUUCAGACACCUCUGUCGGAGGCAGUCAUAUAGUGAGAAUGCAGUGAGAAAUGGGUGUCAGAGAUUUGACUAGAAGAAGAGAGGAUGAUAGUCACAGAAUGGGAGAGUGAUUUGAGUGGCAUCCAUUUAGCCUGGUGUGUGAUUUUUUGUUUUUUUUCUCCAGCAGUGUUCAGUUGUCUAAGCCCAGACUGUACCAUCAACUGAGGAUAUAUAUGCCAACAUAGUCACUGAAUGAUUAUAUAACAUACGGGAGUGAUGUUAAAAAGAUACAAUGUAUUCUAGAUUUUUUUCAGUGUCUUAAGCUUAGGGGAAAAAAGGUAAAACCAAAAUAAGGUUUUGUCCUUCCAAACAGAGGAAGACAUUUUCUUUAGUGUGUAUGGUAUCAUAAGUAAGAAAUGAUUGGAUGAAAAUGUAAUUGAGGAAAAUCAGAAAAAUAGGAUUAUCUGUAAAAAAUAUACUUGAUGAAGUAGAAUUAGUAAGAAGUGGAAUUAGUAAGAGUACUUGGAACAUCCCAGAGACUGUAAGAUUGUCACUCAUUGACAUUCUUCUCCAGCCAAAUGGAUAAUUAACAUUAAUUCCAGGUUAUCUUAUGUUUCUGUCAGGUCUUUUAGUGUCCUAUUAAGAAAGUAUAAAUAAACUGAUCACAAACAAGUCAUUUUUUUGAAUUUUUAUCCAGUUGAGUUCUCCAUGGAUAUUUAAUGUGACUGUGAACUGUUGAAUGGAUCAGUUCUUUUGAAACAGUAUACUAGAAAAUUUGAACAGUUAUCCGGCAGAUAGUUAAAGCAUUUUUGACCACUGUCAUGCUUUAAGUGCAACUUUUGGGGGGCACUCAAAGAUUGAAAUAAUUAUCUGGGUCCUUUAACAAAUAAUUGUUAACUUUUUAAAAGUAAAAUUAUAAGGUUUUUAAUUUACAAUAAAUAUUGGUUAGCAUUCCAACUUUACAAUUUUAACUAGAAAGUUCAGGAAUUGGUUUGCUACAGAGAUAGCAUCUAGAUUUAGAAAGGAGGUUUGAUAAUCCAAGUAAUUUAGUGGAGACAAAACUACAGGGAAAAUUACAGAUUAACUUUAGGGACUAAUUUUAAUACUUUACUUCUAAUAAGCAUAUUCGUUAAUGUAAAGACUAAGAUUUUAUAGCAUGUUAGAGUUGCCUUGUAAAAAGAUGUAGAGGAUUUUAGGCAGAUAGUAAUGGUUGCUAUUAUUGGGUAUUAGUGCUUUUCAAAUUAAAGAUGAGGAUGAAGUCCAUCAUUCUUUUUAGCUGCUGAGUAGCUUGUGAUUGUGCCAAAUCCAUCUGCUACAACCUAAGCCAGGUUGAAUAUCUCAUAUUUGCCUGUAGUUGAAAAAUCAAAUAUUGAAACAAGAAUGGCUUAGUCUCUGGAAAAACAGUUUCAUUGGUGGUGAUUUAGUCAUACAGUCUUAGCAUAUGUUAAGUAGAAAGCACUGCCAUUUUGGUUUGAAUAAAGUGAAUUUUUAAACCAGAGACAGUUACCGUUAAGAUACAUGCAAGUCAAAUUUAAAACUGGGUUUCAGAAGAAACUGUAUAUUUCAUUUAUUAUUUUUUACAAAGAAGAUAGGUGGAAAAGGUGAAUUAUAUAAAAUUAACACUGACAUAUAUAUUUUUUUCAUUUUAGAUCACUGUAAACAAAAAUUCCACCAGAGGAAAUGCGGAAAUAGGAGUUACGGAUACAUUGGAUUUGCUGGAUGAAAUACAAGCAGAUAAUUUUUGAAACGUGGGGAGAAAGCCCAAAUUGCCAGAUUACAUGUGUAAAUCACUGCGUUACUGCUUUAGUCAUUGUCUCUAUUUAGCAAUGACAAGACUGGAAGAAGUAAACAGAGAAGUGAAUAUGCAUUCUUCAGUGCGUUAUCUUGGCUAUUUAGCCAGAAUCAACUUACUGGUUGCUAUAUGCCUAGGUCUUUAUGUAAGAUGGGAAAAAACAGCAAAUUCCUUAAUUUUGGUAAUUUUUAUUCUUGGUCUUUUUGUUCUUGGAAUUGCCAGCAUACUCUAUUAUUAUUUUUCAAUGGAAGCGGCAAGUUUAAGUCUCUCCAAUCUUUGGUUUGGAUUCUUGCUUGGCCUCCUAUGUUUUCUUGACAAUUCAUCCUUUAAAAAUGAUGUGAAAGAAGAAUCAACCAAAUAUUUGCUUCUAACUUCCAUAGUAUUAAGGAUAUUAUGCGCUUUGGUGGAGAGAAUUUCUGGGUAUGUCCGUCAUCGACCCACUUUACUAACCACAGUUGAAUUUCUGGAACUUGUUGGAUUUGCUAUUGCCAGCACAACUAUGUUGGUGGAGAAGUCUUUGAGUGUCAUUUUACUUGUCGUAGCUUUGGCCAUGCUGAUUAUUGACCUGAGAAUGAAGUCUUUCUUAGCUAUUCCAAACUUAGUUAUUUUUGCAGUCUUGUUGUUUUUCUCCUCAUUGGAAACUCCCAAAAAUCCAAUUGCUUUUGCAUGUUUUUUUAUCUGCCUGAUAACCGACCCUUUCCUUGACAUCUAUUUUAGCGGACUUUCAGUGACUGAAAGGUGGAAACCCUUUUUGUACCGUGGAAGAAUAUGCAGAAGACUUUCAGUUGUUUUCAUUGGAAUGAUUGAGCUUACCUUUUUUAUUCUUUCAGCAUUUAAACUUAGAGACACUCACCUCUGGUAUUUUGUAAUACCAGGCUUUUCCAUUUUUGGAAUUUUCUGGAUGAUUUGCCAUAUUAUUUUUCUCUUAACUCUUUGGGGAUUCCAUACCAAGUUAAAUGACUGCCA